GUGGGGAAUAUUGCACAAUGGGCGCAAGCCUGAUGCAGCCAUGCCGCGUGUAUGAAGAAGGCCUUCGGGUUGUAAAGUACUUUCAGCGAGGAGGAAGGUGUUGUGGUUAAUAACCACAGCAAUUGACGUUACUCGCAGAAGAAGCACCGGCUAACUCCGUGCCAGCAGCCGCGGUAAUACGGAGGGUGCAAGCGUUAAUCGGAAUUACUGGGCGUAAAGCGCACGCAGGCGGUCUGUCAAGUCGGAUGUGAAAUCCCCGGGCUCAACCUGGGAACUGCAUCCGAAACUGGCAGGCUAGAGUCUUGUAGAGGGGGGUAGAAUUCCAGGUGUAGCGGUGAAAUGCGUAGAGAUCUGGAGGAAUACCGGUGGCGAAGGCGGCCCCCUGGACAAAGACUGACGCUCAGGUGCGAAAGCGUGGGGAGCAAACAGGAUUAGAAACCCUAGUAGUCCA
rnacentral:rRNA from 1 species